rnacentral:tRNA from 2 species
GGGGAGGAAGCUUAAGUGGUAUAUAGCUGCGGCCUGUUAAGCCGAAGACAGCGGGUUCGAGUCCCCCCCUCCCCG